GGCUGUGCUAGCAGCUUUAUUUAUUUUUUUAUAUCUGUAUCGGAUGCCUGUUUUCAACUGAACACAACAAAAUGAAGGCACCUGUUCAAGCAGCUCACUGGAUUCCUGCAAAAAAAGCGAGGCGAGUUCGAGAUCAUUCCAAAUUCAUCUACAAAACUCAUAAAGAGGUUCAUUGUGCAAAGAUGGAAAUUCCAGAUUUCCUGUCCAGUCGGCAUCUCUGUUUCCCCAGACCUCUCCUACUCAGACUGGUCAGCUUUGAAGCGUCUCGACUGUCAAAGAGCAACAGACUGAAACUCGUCACUCUGCAGGAGGUUGAUGCUGCCAUCGCGCUCUUAAAAAAGAUGACUCGUACAAGAGCUGCUGCAUAAAGUAUUGGACUUUAAACUUUUACUGUGGUAUUAAUAAAAGUUAAUUUU